UGGGCCCUGCCUCCCAUCCAUGCUAUUGAUUCUCUGAUGGGCUUGGAUGCAGGCAGGAAAUCUCUGAAGCCAGCUCCUCCAGAAAUCACGGACUGUGUUGAGUCUGAGGCUGCUCGAGCUGGGUGAAGUCCCUGCCCUCAAGGAGCCAGAGUCUUGGGAAGGAAAGAAACACUGGAAAACAGAGCAAAGAACUGGGACAUGCGGGGUCUGUAGGGGCUGGACUGGACACGAGAAAACUCUCUGGAGUAGAGAGCUUUUGAGUUUGGGCUCAAAAGAUGAGGAUUCUUUCAAUAGAAGUAGAAGAAACUCAACUCCAUUUGAACAACAGGGAAAGGACUUUCCUGGUUCAUCCGGGUGUUCAGGGGGUGAUGGCUCCACCAGGCGCCUUCUCUCGCUGUCAGAGCUCACAGCCCGAGGGGGUGACAGCUCCCAGUGUACACGCUCAAGCCUGAGAAACCCCAGUGGCUGGAGAGAAUGUUAUCUCAGUAGGUCAGAGAAAAGUUCCAGGAUGGAGUGGGCGUGUGUUGGACCCCAGGCAAGGCAUUUUAACCUCUGGGCCUCAGUUUCUUCACCUGGAAAAUGGGCACAGUAAGUUACCUGAAAGGGCUGCUAUGGGGAAUAAGAUGACAUGGCUUUGUGGUUGGUCAUCAGCAAGGCCCUGGGACAGGGCGUUGAGGUUUGCAGAACAUUUUCACAACCUUAUCUCACCCCUCACCACAACUCUAGGCUUCCCUGUUGGCUCAGAUGGUAAAGAAACUGCCUGCAGUGCAGAAGACCUCCGUUGGAUUCCUGAGUUGGGAAGAUUCCCUGGAGAAGGAACAUUUUAGUUUUCUUGUCCACUCUGGUUUUCUUGCCUGGCGGGCUACAGUCCAAAGGGUCGCAAAGAGCUGGACACGACUGAGUGACUAACACGGACUAACUAAUGCCCCAGCUCUGAGAGUUCCUCAGAGACGGGGAAGGGGAGUUCGGUCGGUUCCAGCCAAAGUCGCAAAGGUGGAAGGUGACAGAAC
ensembl:lncRNA